GGCCUCAAAUCAGGUAGGAUUACCCGCUGAACUUAAGCAUAUCAAUAAGCGGAGGAAAAGAAACUAACAAGGAUUCCCCUAGUAACGGCGAGUGAAGCGGGAUGAGCUCAAAUUUGUAAUCUGGUGGACUCAGUUCAUCCGAGUUGUAAUCUAUAGAAAAGUUUUCCGCGUCGGACCGUGUCUAAGUCCCUUGGAACAGGGUGUCAGAGAGGGUGAGAAUCCCGUGCUUGAUACGACCACCGAUGCUAUGUGAUACUUUUUCAACGAGUCGAGUUGUUUGGGAAUGCAGCUCAAAAUGGGUGGUAAAUUCCAUCUAAAGCUAAAUAUUGGCGAGAGACCGAUAGCGAACAAGUACCGUGAGGGAAAGAUGAAAAGCACUUUGGAAAGAGAGUUAAACAGUACGUGAAAUUGUUAAAAGGGAAACGAUUGAAGUCAGUCGUGCUCUCUGAGAUUCAGCCAGUUAUUCUGGUGUAUUUCUCAGUGAGCGGGUCAACAUCAGUUUAGAUCGCUGGAUAAGGUCAUUAGGAAUGUGGCUCCCUCGGGAGUGUUAUAGCCUAGUGUCGCAUACAGUGGUUUAGACUGAGGAACGCAGCUCGCCUUUAUGGCCGGGGUUCGCCCACGUCCGAGCUUA
rnacentral:rRNA from 1 species